AGCCCCAGUCAGAGCAUAGUCAGUCGUGAGUGAGUGAAUCCUACCGCUCUCCUUUAGCAACCAGCAGCUCCCAGUCAGUCAGGAUGAAACACACAAACUCCAUCACAGGCUUUCUGUGCUGUAGCUUCCUUCUUAUUUUCACUGGAGCCCUGUGCUUCCCAUGUGUCACAGGAGACGGAGGUGACAUUCUAGAAGUUUCUGGACCUGAGAUCAUUUCUCCUUCGUCAAGCCCGCAGUCAGUCUCAGUGUUUAAUGUCAGUGAAGGU